AAUAGAUACCCGGGUAGUCCACGCCCUAAACGAUGAAUACUCGAUGUUGGCGAUAUACGGUCAGCGUCUAAGCGAAAGCGUUAAGUAUUCCACCUGGGGAGUACGCCCGCAAGGGUGAAACUCAAAGGAAUUGACGGGGGCCCGCACAAGCGGAGGAGCAUGUGGUUUAAUUCGAUGAUACGCGAGGAACCUUACCCGGGCUUGAAAGUUAGUGAAUAAAGCAGAGACGCUUUAGUCCUUCGGGACACGAAACUAGGUGCUGCAUGGCUGUCGCCAGCUCGUGCCGUGAGGUGUUGGGUUAAGUCCCGCAACGAGCGCAACCCCUAUGUUUAGUUGCCAGCAUGUAAUGAUGGGGACUCUAAACAGACUGCCUAUGCAAAUAGAGAGGAAGGAGGGGACGACGUCAAGUCAUUAUGGCCCUUACGUCCGGGGCUACACACGUGCUACAAUGGAUGGUACAGAGGGCAGCUACCUGGUAACAGGAUGCCAAUCUCCAAAAGCCAUUCACAGUUCGGAUCGGGGUCUGCAACUCGACCCGU
rnacentral:rRNA from 1 species